AGAAUCAACGCUGGCUGCGUGCCUCAGACAUGCAAGUCGAACGCGAAAGUCCCCUUCGGGGGACAAGUAGAGUGGCGCACGGGUGAGUAACACGUAGGUAAUCUACCUUCGGAUGGGGAAUAACAACCGGAAACGGUUGCUAAUACCGCAUAAUGCAGCGGCACCUAAUGGUGACAGCUGUUAAAGCGGGGAUCGAAAGACCUCGCGUCUGAAGAGGAGCCUGCGGCGGAUUAGCUAGUUGGUAGGGUAACGGCCUACCAAGGCGACGAUCCGUAGCCGGCCUGAGAGGGCGUCGGCCACGACGUGAC
rnacentral:rRNA from 1 species